GCAAAAAACAUCUGUGGAACUGGACAUGGUUUUCAGUCUUGUUAUAGUAGUUAGUGUUGCUCAAAGCAAGGCUUGUGGUAUAUUAACCCUUAUUGAUAAAGGCAACUGGAUUUGCUCACCUGGUGGGGAUUUUAUGUCACGACUAAGUUAUUUCACACUUCAAUAUCUGUGUGUUUCCUUGAGAAUGUUUGCAAUAUAUCGGUUACCUAUUUUUCUUAAUAUUCCUGACACUGUUACAGAGCUGUGGGACCAGGACGACGGAGGAAGAGAAAAAUCCCACAAACUUGAAAGGAGUUAGAGAUUGUAUUCAUGCUACCGCACUUCCCUGUGGCACAGCAAGUGAUCUGCUCUUUCUGACUCCCAUCUGGUAUUUAAUGAAAAACCAAACCAUGCCUGUGAGAUGUUAGUCAUGUAAUUUAGCGCAGUACUGAAAAUUUCUAAGGUCAGAACAACAGCGUGAGGAUCUCUAAAAAAGAGAACAGAACAGGAGCUGAAGUUGCAAGAGGCUACAGGGGCAGCAGGGACGGACUUUGAGACCAGACCGGCAAAAACCCACUUAGAGUGACAAGUUUGAACUGCACUAAACUAAGUGGGAGCUCUUCCAGUUCCAGCCUAGCGAUGGACCACAGGGGCAGACACUUGUUUUCCCCUUGGCAUAAGAAGAUCAAUAUUGCUUCUGCUUUGCCCUGGUUUUAGUUCUGCAGAAGUACUGAAGGGGCAAAUUCAGCUUCACUAGAACAACGCGAAGAACGUAGCAAUAGAGUUAAUACAGAAAGGUAACGAAAGAUCACACUGUUUCAAAUUUUAAAUUUUUUUGAAGCUUAUUUGAGAAACAUAUGGAAUUUUGACCUAACCUACAAUAUUACACAAACACAACCAAAACCUUCCUGAAAAAUUUAUAGAUGAUUGCACAGAAAAAAAUAUAUCCAAGCAGCUGACCAGCAGAAAAAGAGAAAGGUCAGGCACAUCUGGAGAAUUCAAGAUGGAAAAGAACCAUCUCCUAAUUUUGUAACAAAGACCAGAAACAUCGCAUUUAAUUUCAGACCUCCUUGUUUCAAUCAACUCUGCUUUUCAUCUACGCACAUCCCUUCCUCUGAGGGCUUUUCUGCUAAGAGCCUGCAUCAGCAGAUUUGACUUUAAGUUUGCAUCAAGCUGGUUUUUAUAGUAGUAAGCACACUUGGAAGCUACAAAGACACAGUGUGUUUCUUGCUGCCCUGCUUAUCAGUCACAACAAAUGGUUUAUAGCUGCACUUUUAAAAAAAAUUAAAUCAGUACGGGCUCUAUAUAAGGCAGGACUUAAAAAGGAGGGAAGUGAGUCUCUUCCGAAGUUUUGGCACAGAACCCAGUUGCAAGUCAGUAGCUACGGGAGGAUUUAACCAGCAGAUCUGGACGGAGCUGUGCCGGUGGCCAAGAACUGUGCUGUCAUCAGAGCACUUCUGCCUCUCAGGAGGUGAAAACAAACAAAAGCCCUGCUGAAGCACGACUAUAUAUCCACUCGCAACCUGCAAGAACCGAUGUGCCAGGGACAUGGCUCUGCAGCUGAAGCAUGCACUGGCCACCACUGUCCCAAGACGGCAGUAAUAAUGUUGAUGAGCUCUGCAGACCUCUUACUACUUCACUGAAAGUUUCUUUGUUAGUGAAUGUUGACAUCACCUCAGCAAUUGUCUAAAAACCCUAUAUACAGAAAGUCAUCGGCAAAGUAAAGAUUUUGCUAAGAGUGAGAGAAAGGUCUUUGCCAUUUUGGAAAUAAUUAUUGCUUUUCACUCUUGAAGGCUUGUGUGAUUACUUGAAAGGUUUUUGGCUGCAGUUCCACUUCAGCUGCAGAUGAUAUUUUCAAUGACACAUGCCAACGGUCUCUAUCUUUUUAUGCCAGCUGAAGAUCUGGUCAAAUCAUGUUCUUGCUCCACCAUUUGGGUAAAUUUUUUUUUAUUUUUAACUGAAAAACCUGUACUUUUGUGAACAGCUGAAACACUCAAGUUUCAUUUCUAGGAGUCUGUGCCUCAAAGUUUCGCUCCUGGAACCUGCAACAGCUAGUGAGGGUGGUGCUUGUACGGCAGGGUUGGCUUGGUGGAAAGCGAGGGGCAUCAGAAGACUGAAACCCAGAAAUUAUUCUAAAGAUUACAUCCUUACAGGCCACAAGAGUCAGGACAGUUAUCCUCCCUGAUAUAGUGUUGGGUUGCUCAUUAAGCGCUGGUAAUUACAGUACCCCUGCUGCCGCCUUAUAGCACUGAUGGAAAAGCUAUUACCUUGGCUUCCUCCCAGAACAGCUUAUUUCAGGGGAGUUCCUCCUACCGGACUGUCUGUUGUGAGCAAUCCCUUUUAAUCUGCUGACUUGGAUACUGCUUUAAGGCCACUCCCUUUGAAAAAGAAGAAAAAAAAAAAAAGAUGAGAAGACAGCUGUUUUGUGGAUAUUUUAGCACUUAAAGUUCACUUGCUCACAGCUGUAACUUGCUCUCUGACUAGACCCGCAGACUCCAAGGCAGAAUUCUCAGAAGUGUAAGAGCAAUUUGGGAACACAAAUCCCACCGGUGCCCAAUGGGCCGCUGCCCCGAACAGACACCUGAAAACCCAGCCUCACCGACCGCCCUAGUAAACUUGCCAAAACUCCUCUGUGAAGCAAGAUGUACAUUAAUUUGGUAGGUUAAUGCCUUCGUGCCCCAAGGAUCCACUAGAAGUGACUUCUAAAAACUAAUUCCAUCAGCAAGAGAGUCCGGGAAGACACUAGCAUAUUUGCAACAUUUCUUUCCACGUAACAAAUUCCCCGCAGUGAGACAUUUUACUGCCUGGACUGACCUUACUUUUUUUUCCUGAAGCUGCACAACAGCUAAAGCACGAGAGCUGAUCUGGUCACAUGUGUCACCCGAGCUGAGCUGCGACACAGCAGACCGACAGCUACAGCAAGCUUACGGCCUGAUUACAAGAGGAAUGGUUUUUCUAAAAAGCCCUUUCAUAAGUUAACACCAAUUAACCAAGAGGGUGCACAAUCCUUCGCUGCUUUCACUUAGUCCACACCAAAGGAAUGAUACGUUAGAACAAAUGGUCUGAGGGGUCAAAUAUCAGAUUUGAAGUAUCUCAUCUCUCUAGCUAGAGCCGUGCACCAAAUCUUGCUCGCGUUCUAUCUCACUGUUCAAAGUUAUGCAUGUUUCACACCUCCUUUAUUUACUUUGUAGUUAAUCAAAUCUUAGAACUUCUAUUUUGUAAAAUAUUUCUAAACACAUAUUAAUGUAUGUUGAGACAAAAACGUCAGCAAAACCCCAAAAUGUCCUGGAAAUAAAAUAAA